CCUACGGGUGGCAGCAGUGGGGAAUAUUGGACAAUGGGCGAAAGCCUGAUCCAGCCAUGCCGCGUGUGUGAAGAAGGCCUUCGGGUUGUAAAGCACUUUCAGUGGGGAAGAAAGCCUUGGGGCUAAUACCCUCGAGGAAGGACAUCACCCACAGAAGAAGCACCGGCUAACUCCGUGCCAGCAGCCGCGGUAAUACGGAGGGUGCGAGCGUUAAUCGGAAUUACUGGGCGUAAAGCGCGCGUAGGCGGUCUGAUAAGCCGGUUGUGAAAGCCCCGGGCUCAACCUGGGAACGGCAUCCGGAACUGUCAGGCUAGAGUGCAGGAGAGGAAGGUUGAAUUCCCGGUGUAGCGGUGAAAUGCGUAGAGAUCGGGAGGAAUACCAGUGGCGAAGGCGGCCUUCUGGACUGACACUGACGCUGAGGUGCGAAAGCGUGGGUAGCAAACAGGAUUAGAUACCCGAGUAGUC
rnacentral:rRNA from 1 species